AAAUGACUCUCGGCAAUGGAUAUCUCGGCUCUUGCAUCGAUGAAGAACGUAGUGAAAUGCGAUACUUGGUGUGAAUUGCAGAAUCUCGUGAACCAUUGAGUCUUUGAACGCAAGUUGUGCCCGAGGCCUUGUGGUCGAGGGCACGCCUGCUUGGGCGCCAUGG
rnacentral:rRNA from 1 species